GUCCCAUCUCUCCUGUCCACCCAGCUGUUGGGGAGAAUCCUUUUUUGACACAGCUCCUGAGCCCGGCUUUAUCUCUCUGGAAAGCCCGCAAUAAAAACACAGUGCAAACGCUGGGGGAGAAGGAGAAGUUGAGACGAGCGGGUUAUUGGAAAUACUUGGGGUGAUGGGGGCAGUGCCACCCCACACCAGCUCCUCCUGCCCCUGCCCACGUGGGCCAGCAAGAGCUCUGCAAGGAUGUGCCUUCACCAGGGAUGGGAUGAGGCUGGAUCCUGAUGCUGCUCUCGCUACAAGAUUUGGGCUGGCCAUGGUGGUAGGGCACAGCCAGAUGAGGCAACGGGGCAUGAUUUUCUGGAGAAGCUGCUUGAACGCCCUCCUUCCAGCCUCUAUCCAGAAGGUUUUGACGUGAAGACAAGAUUUCUGAGUGCAGGUUGACUUUUGAGCCGUCAGCACCUGGCUUUGGCAAGGAGGUUGUCGCCAGUUGAAGGAGAGGAAGAGUCACCAGGGGCUUGGAGGUCCAAGUGGGGACAGCGAGCCCAAGCCACCAGCAGGACCAACAAUGGGAGGAGGGAAGCUGCGAGCGGCUCGCAGCCUGGUGAGUGGAAAAGUCCUGCUGGCUCGUAGCUAUUUUGAGGUAAGGCAUUAAUUGAGGACCAGAGGGAAAACAAUAAAGCCAUCCCCAAAAUAGAAGCUGUCA
rnacentral:lncRNA from 1 species